UACGAAGGGGGCUAGCGUUGUUCGGAAUUACUGGGCGUAAAGCGUUUGUAGGCGGUUAAGUAAGUCAGUGGUGAAAGCCUGGGGCUCAACCUCAGAAUUGCCAUUGAAACUACUUAGCUAGAGAGUGUUAGAGGAAAGUGGAAUUCCUAGUGUAGGAGUGAAAUCCGUAGAGAUUAGGAGGAAUAUCGAUGGCGAAGGCAGCUUUCUGGGACAUUUCUGACGCUGAGAAACGAAAGCGUGGGUAGCAAACAGG
rnacentral:rRNA from 1 species